AGAGGAGGCCAGCCAGUCUGGCAGUUCCUACAGAACGGAGGACUAUGCGGAUGGGUCCAGGCUCUCUCCUCUGCCCCAGGAGUUGUCCUCUCGCCAGUCUGCUCAGACCAGGAGUACAAGCAGCGGUGAAGCAAGCAAUGAAAUGACAGAUGGCAGCGGUCGCCGUCUAAGCUCCAAGUCUUCUGCCAGCAAGAUUGUGCAUUUUGUUGACGCCAGUAAGACAAAGAAGUCUGAGAAGGGAAAAACGAAAGAGAAGAAAAAGCAAGAGAAAGUUGCUCGACGUGGUUCAAAAUCCUCUGGCAAAGAAAGAGGCCCCUCUCCUCCAUCCCCCGCAAUGUGAAAAUGUCACCUCAUGCUGCUUGCGGACGACAAAGUUGAA